CGCAUCUGUGCAUGCAGCAUAUCAAUAAGCGGAGGAAAAGAAACUAACAAGGAUUCCCCUAGUAACGGCGAGUGAAGCGGGAAGAGCUCAAAUUUGAAAUCUUAAAGGAUUUCCCUUUACGAAUUGUAGUUUAAAGAAGUGUUUUCUGUUGAGGUUUUGGUAAAAGUUCUUUGGAAUAGGACAUCAUAGAGGGUGAGAAUCCCGUAUUUGACCUUUACUUUCAACUUUGUGAUACACUUUCAAAGAGUCGGAUUGUUUGGGAAUGCAGUCCAAAAUGGGUGGUAAAUUUCAUCUAAAGCUAAAUAUUGGCGAGAGACCGAUAGCGAACAAGUACCGUGAGGGAAGGAUGAAAAGAACUUUGAAAAGAGAGUUAAACAGUACGUGAAAUUGUCAAAAGGGAAGCGUUUGACACCAGUGUUGUUUUUCUGAAAAUCAAUUAAAGAACUGUUUAUGCUAAGCUGUUUAGACUUUAUCAGCUAUCUGUUUAGUUUUGAGCUUUUCUUUAAUGCACUUUUCAGUUAACAAGUCAACAUCAAUUUCUUUUGCUGUAAAAAAGCUUGAGGAAGGUGGCUUGAGAUUCGUCUUAAGUGUUUAUAGCCUCUUGCCUAUGCAGUCGGAGAGAUUGAGGUCUGCAGCGUAGAUCCUUCGGGGCUAAAUGCAUUUGUGUUAAGUUAUAGCAUUUUAUAGACAACUUGUUGACUAUGAUUUGUCUUGUAGCUUACUCGCUUAUGUUAUUUUACCUACACUUAGGAUGUUGAAUCUGUGCGAGACUAC
rnacentral:rRNA from 1 species